CUCUCUUCUCUUUACUCAUUGAAGCUCUUCAAUCUAAAACUCUUUUGAAUCAACCAUUUAUCUCAUCUCAAAUUCAUAAAUAUGUCAUCACAAGGUCGUAAUAUGAAUGCAAACAUGGAUCCUCCUAUACGUAGACGG